rnacentral:rRNA from 1 species
AUGAACGCUGGCGGUGUGCCUAAUACAUGCAAGUCGAGCGAACAGACGAGGAGCUUACUCCUCUGACGUUAGCGGCGGACGGGUGAGUAACACGUGGAUAACCUACCUAUAAGACUGGGAUAACUUCGGGAAACCGGAGCUAAUACCGGAUAACAUGUUGAACCGCAUGGUUCAACAGUGAAAGACGGUCUUGCUGUCACUUAUAGAUGGAUCCGCGUCGCAUUAGCUAGUUGGUAAGGUAACGGCUUACCAAGGCAACGAUGCGUAGCCGACCUGAGAGGGUGAUCGGCCACACUGGAACUGAGACACGGUCCAGACUCCUACGGGAGGCAGCAGUAGGGAAUCUUCCGCAAUGGGCGAAAGCCUGACGGAGCAACGCCGCGUGAGUGAAGAAGGUCUUCGGAUCGUAAAACUCUGUUAUUAGGGAAGAACAAAUGUGUAAGUAACUAUGCACGUCUUGACGGUACCUAAUCAGAAAGCCACGGCUAGCUACGUG